rnacentral:rRNA from 1 species
UACGCAGGCUGUUUCGUAAGUCGGGUGUGAAAGCCCGGGGCUCAACCCCGGAAUUGCGCCCGAGACUGCGGAGCUUGAAUGCGGGAGAGGGAAGCGGAAUUCCUGGUGUAGAGGUGAAAUUCGUAGAUAUCAGGAGGAACACCGGUGGCGAAAGCGGCUUCCUGGCCCGACAUUGACGCUCAUGUACGAGAGCGUGGGGAGCAAACA